CAAGAUUGCAAAAGAGAAACGG
rnacentral:siRNA from 1 species